rnacentral:rRNA from 1 species
AGUGAACGCUGGCGGCAGGCCUAAUACAUGCAAGUCGAACGGCAGCACAGCAGAGCUUGCUCUGUGGGUGGCGAGUGGCGGACGGGGUGAGGAAUACGUGGGAAUCUGCCCAGUCGUGGGGGAUAACGUAGGGAAACUUACGCUAAUACCGCAUGCGCCUUCGGGGAAAGCCGGGGACCUUCGGGCCUGGCGCGAUUGGAUGAGCCCACGUCGGAUUAGCUAGUUGGCGGGGUAAAGGCCCACCAAGGCGACGAUCCCGUAGCUGGUCUGAGAGGAUGAUCAGCCACACUGGAACUGAGA